CACGAGGUUUCCGGAGGUGCACCUGCGAAAGUCUCAUUA
rnacentral:rRNA from 1 species